rnacentral:rRNA from 1 species
GACGACCGCUGGCGGCGUGCUUAACACAUGCAAGUCGAACGGAAAGGCCCUGCUUUUGUGGUGUGCUCGAGUGGCGAACGGGUGAGUAACACGUGAGUAACCUGCCCUUGACUUUGGGAUAACUUCAGGAAACUGGGGCUAAUACCGGAUAGGAGCUCCUGCUGCCUGGUGGGGGUUGGAAAGUUUCGGCGGUUGGGGAUGGACUCGCGGCUUAUCAGCUUGUUGGUGGGGUAGUGGCUUACCAAGGCUUUGACGGGUAGCCGGCCUGAGAGGGUGACCGGCGACAAGGGGACUGAGAGACGGCCCAGACGCCUACGGGAGGCAGCAGGGGGGAAUAUUGCACAAUGGGCGGAAGCCUGAUGCAGCAACGCCGCGUGCGGGAUGACGGCCUUCGGGGUGUAAACCGCUGUCGCCUGUGACGAAGCGUGAGUGACGGUAAUGGGUAAAGAAGCACCGGCUAACUACGUG